rnacentral:rRNA from 1 species
CCCUGCCAUUUGUACACACCGCCCGUCGCUACUACCGAUUGGAUGGCUUAGUGAGUUCUGGGGACUGUUACCGUUAGUUGGGUUACCUUCUUUCGGCUGACGGGAACCAGAUCAAACUUGAUCAUUUA